rnacentral:rRNA from 1 species
GAUGAACGCUAGCGGCAGGCCUAAUACAUGCAAGUCGAACGGUGUCUUCGGACAUAGUGGCGCACGGGUGCGUAACACGUAUGCAACCUACCUUACAUUGGGGGAUAGCCUUUCGAAAGGGAGAUUAAUACCGCAUAAGACAGUAGCUGGGCAUCCAGCAGCUGUUAAAGAUUUAUCGAUGUAAGCUGGGCAUGCGUCCAAUUAGCUAGUUGGUGAGGUAACGGCUCACCAAGGCAAUGAUUGGUAGGGGAACUGAGAGGCCAAUCCCCCACAAUGAGAGUUAGAUACGGGCAAGAGUCCUACGAGAGCCAGCAGUAGGGAAGAUUGGAGAAUGGACGCAAGUCUGACACAGACAUGCGGAGUGCAGGAGGAAGGCGUUAUGCGUUGUAAACUGCUUUUAUACAGGAAGAAACGACUCUUGCGAGAGGCAUUGACGGAACUGUAUGAAUAAGCACCGGCUAACUCCGUGCCAGCAGCCGCCGUAAAAC